UUCCGUAGGUGAACCUGCGGAGGGAUCAUUACAGAGUUAUCCAACCCCCAAACCCAUGUGAACUUAUCUCUUUGUUGCCUCGGCGCAAGCUACCCGGGACCUCGCGCCCCGGGGGGCCCGCCGGCGGACAAACCAAACUCUGUUAUCUUCGUUGAUUAUCUGAGUGUCUUAUUUAAUAAGUCAAAACUUUCAACAACGGAUCUCUUGGUUCUGGCAUCGACGAAGAACGCAGCGAAAUGCGAUAAGUAAUGUGAAUUGCAGAAUUCAGUGAAUCAUCGAAUCUUUGAACGCACAUUGCGCCCAUUAGUAUUCUAGUGGGCAUGCCUGUUCGAGCGUCAUUUCAACCCCUAAGCACAGCUUAUUGUUGGGACUCUACGGCUUCGUAGUUCCCCAAAGACAUUGGCGGAGUGGCAGCAGUCCUCUGAGCGUAGUAAUUCUUUAUCUCGCUUUUGUUAGGCGCUGCCCCCCCGGCCGUAAAACCCCCAAUUUUUUCUGGUUGACCUCGGAUCAGGUAGGAAUACCCGCUGAACUUAAGCAUAUCAAUAAGCGGAGGA
rnacentral:rRNA from 1 species